AGUGUAUCAUUAUCCAAGGACGUACCUGAAUUGAAUUGGGCUGAUUGUUGUGGUGGCUGUGACGGUUCAUAUGGCCACUGAUAGAACUCUUCCGAUGGUGGCAAUUGUUCUUCUUUUUGUGAACCCUGCGUCAAAGAAAUUAGUCAUUCAAGAAUUUCAUUAUAAUUCACGGGCAUACUUUGAUUUGAUUGGAAUUGUUGUGGGGGAUGCUGUGGUGGCUGCAUAGGUCUUGAAUAG
rnacentral:lncRNA from 1 species